UAGGAGCCCGAAGAAGGGCAUCACUUGGUUCCCUAGGCGAGCCGCCCUAUUCCUGAACCCGCAUCAAGUCUCCCGUCCCGCAGGUCCUGAUCGAUCUGCCCACCGGAGCCUCCGGGCUUCGACAUGCUGGAGGAGCCCCGGCCGCGGCCUCCGCCCUCGGGCCUCGCGGGUCUCCUGUUCCUGGCCUUGUGCAGUCGGGCUCUAAGCAAUGAGAUUCUGGGCCUGAAGUUGCCUGGCGAGCCGCCGCUGACGGCCAACACCGUGUGCUUGACGCUGUCCGGCCUAAGCAAGCGGCAGCUAGGCCUGUGCCUGCGCAACCCCGACGUGACGGCGUCCGCGCUUCAGGGUCUGCACAUCGCGGUCCACGAGUGUCAGCACCAGCUGCGCGACCAGCGCUGGAACUGCUCCGCGCUUGAGGGCGGCGGCCGC
rnacentral:sRNA from 1 species